UGGUGGAGUGAUUUGUCUGGUUAAUUCCGUUAACGAACGAGACCUCAGCCUGCUAAUUAGGCGAGCUAAUAUCUCAUUGGACUCGUCUUCUUAGAGGGACUGUCGGUUAGUCACCGAUGGAAGUUUGAGGCAAUAACA
rnacentral:rRNA from 1 species